UACGAAGGGGGCUAGCGUUGUUCGGAAUUACUGGGCGUAAAGCGCGCGUAGGCGGGCGUUUAAGUCAGGGGUGAAAUGCCGAGGCUCAACCUUGGAACUGCCUUUGAUACUGGAUGCCUGGAGUUCGGGAGAGGUGAGUGGAAUUCCGAGUGUAGAGGUGAAAUUCGUAGAUAUUCGGAGGAACACCAGAAGCGAAGGCGGCUCACUGGCCCGAUACUGACGCUGAGGCGCGAAAGCGUGGGGAGCAAACAGG
rnacentral:rRNA from 1 species